AGUGUUUCCUCUGUUACCCUGCAGAUCUGCUGAUAAGGAAUAAGAGUUUUACUUCUCUACCAAGAUUGCAGCUUUUAGGCACAAGGAGAGGAUUAAAAAGCUGCCGAGAUAAACUGCUCCAGAAUAAUGUAUACAACACACAGGCAAGAAAAUACAUCAAUCCCAUUCACAGAGAGCACGUGCCUAAGCUGCCAUCUGCAAGCUGGAGACCCAGGAAAACUGGUGGUGUAAAUCAGUUGGAGUCCCAAGGCCUGAGAACCAUGGAAGCCCAGGG